UGGGGGGUACAGAGGGCCGCUACCACGCAAGUGGAUGCCAAUCCCCAAAACCUCUCUCAGUUCGGAUUGAAGUCUGCAACCCGACUUCAUGAAGCUGGAUUCGCUAGUAAUCGCGCAUCAGCCACGGCGCGGUGAAUACGUUCCCGGGCCUUGUACACACCGCCCGUCAAGCCAUGGGAGCCGGGGGUGCCUGAAGUUCGUGACCGCAAGGAGCGACCUAGGGCAAAACUGGUGACUGGGGCUAAGUCGUAACAAGGUAUC
rnacentral:rRNA from 1 species